GUCUCUUGCUCAAUGAACAGUCUCACAGAGUCUCUCACUAGAUGAGCGGUCUCACAGAGUCUCUCUCCGUAUGAGCUGUCUCACAGGGUCUCUCACUGAAUGAACAGUCUCACAAGGUCUCUCACUAGAUGAGCUGUCUCAUAGGGUCUCUCACUGAAGGAACAGUCUCACAGGGUCUUUCCCUAGAUGAGCUGUCUCACAGGGUUUCUCACUAGAAGAGCU